GAAGAAAGUGUGGAACCCUCCUGGGAAGCAGAGCCUCUCUGGGGGUGAGAGAUCAGGACAACAAAGAAAAGGUAAGUGGGUUUUUUGCUCCAAAUGGAAAUGCAGAAAUUAUAAAGCAAAUGAAAAGUCUGCACACAGGUUUCCUGAACCGUGGAAAGACACAGCUCUGCAGGCAGCAGGAUGUUUUUGGUGGAACCAACUGACUCACUGCAUUGAUGGUUUCCUGGGCAGUUUUCCAGGUGAGGGGAUCAAAGUUUGCUCCUGGACCAACAAGAUGCUUCCUUCACGUCUUCUUUCACCCCUUUCAAUAUGAUGGAGCAAUGAAUUAAGGACAUGAGAGGUAACCACCGGUGUGCUGUGUCCUGGAGAGGAGGUGAUUUAUCUGGGGGAAAACAUGAUUAUUUCCCGUUGCCAUGCACUGCAGGUAAACAGAAAUAGGCGACCACAUUUGGAAAUGAGUACAGAAAUAUGUGAUAUAAUUGCAGUGAUUCAGAGGAUAAUGCUAAAGAGCCCCAUUGUGCUUGAAAUGGGGGCUCAAUUGCGGGCUCCAGGCCGGGUCACUGCACGGGGACAAAAUGAGUGUGAAGAGCCCCUUCAGCCCUAAUCAUCCCCCAGACAAAAAGGGCACCUUUUAUUCCUCCCCCUCCCCGCCCCAAGUGGAGGGGAAGGUUAGAUGGACUCUGCUCCUCCACAAAAGUGGGGUGUGCAGACAACAGAUGCAGCACUUCCUCUUCAAAUUCCAGGGUUAGUAAUGGAUGUACAAGGGGGUUUUAUAUGUAUAUGCUGUGAUAUUUGCUCUGGUUAAUGGACUGGGUUGGAGUACUUACUGGGCUAAGUUCAAACAAAAUAAAAUCAAAUUUCCAUUUAAUGAAGAGCCUCACAUUCAGCGCAGUAUUCAGUCAAAAAAAUUACUAAAAAUUAGAGCAUGUUUCUAGUACAAUUAACAUCAUUUGCACCCACAAUAAAAUAUUCAAUAACUGGCCAUUUUGCUUGUUGAGGAGGUGAAUA